rnacentral:rRNA from 1 species
AUUGAACGCUGGCGGCAUGCUUUACACAUGCAAGUCGAACGGUAACAGGUUAAGCUGUCGAGUGGCGAACGGGUGAGUAAUGCAUCGGAACGUGCCCAGUCGUGGGGGAUAACGCAGCGAAAGCUGCGCUAAUACCGCAUACGAUUUGAGGAUGAAAGCGGGGGACCGUAAGGCCUCGCGCGAUCGGAGCGGCCGAUGUCAGAUUAGGUAGUUGGUGGGGUAAAGGCUCACCAAGCCAACGAUCUGUAGCUGGUCUGAGAGGACGACCAGCCACACUGGGACUGAGACACGGCCCAGACUCCUACGGGAGGCAGCAGUGGGGAAUUUUGGACAAUGGGCGAAAGCCUGAUCCAGCAAUGCCGCGUGCAGGAAGAAGGCCUUCGGGUUGUAAACUGCUUUUGUACGGAGCGAAAAGGUCUCCUCUAAUACAGGGGGCUCAUGACGGUACCGUAAGAAUAAGCACCGGCUAACUACGUGCCAGCCGCCGCCGUAA